CUCGAUAUUUAUGUGGUUUAUUGAUAAAUAAAAAAAUUAUAUUGUAUUUAAAUUAUUUGAUUAGAUAAUAAGAAUUAUUAUUGAUUCAAUUCGAAAUUGAUAUCAAUUAAAAAUUUAACGAAAUCAAUAUACUUUAAUUAUUAUAUAAGGGUGUAAAAAUAUUUGAAUUCAUGUUAUUUUAAAAUUAGGGUUAUCAGAAUUUUAAACAAAAAAUAAUUUUAUUUUUGGUAAUGGUUUUUUUUGUUAAUGAAAGUUUUUUAAGAAAAAAUCUAUUAAUCAUAAAUAAUAGUAAUAAAUACAUAAUUUUCAAACUUGGGAGGCGCACGUUAGCAAAAGGAGCUAAAUUUAAAAAAAAAAGGACAAAAGGGAAACAUGUGAGGGACCCACUCAGUGAAGGGCAUCUACCCGACAGAUGGAUAAGAAGAAGCUGAGAAAAAAAAAAGGGGGGUUAAAAAGGCAGAUAGGAGUGUAGGAUUGACGCGCAAGAGCGCGUGGAGUCAACCGGAGUGAAAGGGACAGGUGUGAGGCAAAAGCUGACACGUAGGACGCGCGCAAAUGUCGCUGUUGUUUGUGCUGCCGCUGUUUGGCAGUACUAGUAGGUCCCACUUCUUUUCUCUUUCCCUCUUCACCAAAACGCACCGUUUAAAAUGUCCCCCCCCCCCCCCGCCCCUUAUUUUUACUAAAAUCUCCAAAUAAAUCCUUAUCAAUAGAACAACACUUAUUUUCUUUUUAAAGAUAAGUUUUAAAAUGGAAAAAAAAGUUUUAAUUUAAGAAAAUUUGAUAAUUAUAUUUAUUAAAUAUAUUGAUAAUUAUAAAAACCUUACAAAAAUCUAGAUUAAAAUAAUUUUUUGAAUUUUAUCUUGAUAAUGUUGGAAAUUCAGGGACAAAAUCAAGAAUUUUGUGAAGAAGUGGAUAUAAAAGUUAAAAAUUUUAGGAGGUUAAAGUUAAAAAAUAUAUAUUAACAUGGGUUAAAUUGAUUUUUUUUUUUACUAUGGAGAGCAGUCAAACAUUUAAUAAAGUAGUUAAAGGGAUUAAUUGAAUUAUUAAUACUUGAGAUGGAUUAAAAUUGCAAUUGUACCAUUAAUAGCGUGGUUGAAUCCUUAUUCUUUAAAAUUUUAUUUUAAUUAUUAGUUGGAUUUUGUAUUACAAUUUUUUAAAAUUUAGAAUUUUGAAAAAUAGAAAAAAGAUAUAUAAAUUCAGAAGACACGAGAAAGAAGAGGAGCAGAGCCAAAAGUGGUAAAAAAAAAAGGACAAAAGGGAAACAAACAGUCGACAUAAAGUACGAAAAAAGUCCCUUCUCUUCUGCUCAAAAUCGUAUCUUUCGCAUUUUUCUUGACGUAUUUUAGACGUCGACUUUGUUUAAUUUUUGUUUAAAUUAAAAAAAGGGUGAAAUUUAUUUAUUUUAAAAAAAAACCAUAAAUGGUAAAGCAUCUUAUCAGAAGUUGGAUUAUCCAAGGGAAUAUUGAAAAGGAGGUGUCGGCGGUGGUCGACGGACGCGUAUUGCAUCGCACGGCACGUUACACUGUUUACCCCCUAUCACUUCUACAUUGACUGAUUUUUAUAUUUAAAGAUUAUUCUAAAUUUUAUGAUAAUAGUUUUAUUUUAUUUAACAUUUUAAUUACAAUUAUUAUUUACAGAAUUUAUGAGUUUUUUUUUUACUAUUACGUUCUUAUUUCAGAUAUUGUUUUGUCAUAAUUUGAUUUUUU
rnacentral:lncRNA from 1 species